rnacentral:rRNA from 1 species
UACGGAGGGUGCAAGCGUUAUCCGGAUUCACUGGGUUUAAAGGGUGCGUAGGUGGGCAGGUAAGUCAGUGGUGAAAUCUCCGGGCUUAACUCGGAAACUGCCGUUGAUACUGCAGGUCUAGAGUACAGUUGCCGUUGGCGGAAUAUGACAUGUAGUGGUGAAAUACUUAGAUAUGUCAUAGAACACCGAUUGCGAAGGCAGCUAACGAAGCUGUAACUGACGCUGAGGCUCGAAAGUGCGGGGAUCAAACAGG